rnacentral:tRNA from 1 species
GGGGGUAUAGCUCAGUGGUAGAGCAUUUGACUGCAGAUCAAGAGGUCCCCAGUUCAAAUCUGGAUUCCCCUU